UACGUAGGGUGCGAGCGUUGUCCGGAUUUAUUGGGCGUAAAGAGCGUGUAGGCGGCCAGACAGGUCAGCUGUGAAAACUCGAGGCUCAACCUCGAGACGUCGGUUGAAACCGUCUGGCUAGAGUCCGGAAGAGGAGAGUGGAAUUCCUGGUGUAGCGGUGAAAUGCGCAGAUAUCAGGAGGAACACCCGUGGCGAAAGCGGCUCUCUGGGACGGUACUGACGCUGAGACGCGAAAGCGUGGGGAGCAAACAGG
rnacentral:rRNA from 1 species